rnacentral:lncRNA from 1 species
AAAUAAGGGGUGCAAAAAAGUUUAGGCACGCUGGUAUCGAACCAUCAUUGUGUAUGAAGUUCGAUAGAAUGUUCGCAAACAUUGUUGCUACUGGUGAGUAUGCGUGGGCACCAUCAUCUGGAGUCUUACCUGAUCAUAAUGUUGGUGUUGAUGGCAGUCAACGUACACAUGUUGAACAACCCGAUUUGGAAAAAGGCAGCGGUGAUUUUGAAGAGGACGAAAUUCCAAAUUUUGAUGAUGAUGUUUGCAACAUGGUUCGAGGGGUUAAUAUGGAUACCAGUAGCAACAGCCGCAGUAGUGGGAAGAGGAAAGAAAGACAACGGGUUGAGCUUCAAGCUGGGAAAAAAAAAAGGAAUUCCGGAAUUGGGUUUCAACUACUUUUACGAUGGGAUCACAUGGUUGACAGCAUGUCAAACACUAGUGAUUCCACAUCUAUCAGUAAAGAUCGGGAAGGGUGUAGUAUUCGUGAGGUUAUGACUGAGCUUCACUUGCAUGAGGGAGUGCAUAUAGGUGAUGAUUUUCAUGGGUUUGCUACUGAGAUUUUAGGUUUGAGAAGGAAUAGAGAAAUGUGGCAAACUAUGGGUAAUAUUGAAAACAAGAUUAAAUGGUCGCGGAGAAUGUAUACACGGCGUAAAGGAUCUUAGUCCGAGAGGUGUAUAUUAAUCCCAAAUGCCUGCUUUCAUAUCUUUUUUGCUAAUAUUAUUAUUUUAAUUGUUAUUUAACAUGUUUA